rnacentral:rRNA from 1 species
GAUGAACGCUGGCGGCGUGCCUAAUACAUGCAAGUCGAGCGAACAGACGAGGAGCUUGCUCCUUCGACGUUAGCGGCGGACGGGUGAGUAACACGUAGGUAACCUACCUAUAAGACUGGGAUAACUUCGGGAAACCGGAGCUAAUACCGGAUAAUAUUUCGAACCGCAUGGUUCGAUAGUGAAAGAUGGCUUUGCUAUCACUUAUAGAUGGACCUGCGCCGUAUUAGCUAGUUGGUAAGGUAACGGCUUACCAAGGCAACGAUACGUAGCCGACCUGAGAGGCUGAUCGGCCACACUGGAACUGAGACACGGUCCAGACUCCUACGGGAGGCAGCAGUAGGGAAUCUUCCGCAAUGGGCGAAAGCCUGACGGAGCAACGCCGCGUGAGUGAUGAAGGUCUUCGGAUCGUAAAACUCUGUUAUUAGGGAAGAACAAACGUGUAAGUAACUGUGCACGUCUUGACGGUACCUAAUCAGAAAGCCACGGCUAACUACGUG